AAGGUACAAACACGCCUGGGUUUAAAGGGAAUGGAACAUUACACUCUGAUUGGCUUAUUGCAUGUUAAGCCCAAAACACGCCUAUGAUUAAUUAAGACAUUAAGUACAACCCUUUCAAACCAUGCACCUGGUGCACAGACCCUUUUUUUCUGCUGUUAAACUAGGAAAAGUGGAUUUGUACACGCCCUAAACGCACCUGCACCAGGAGCUUCACGCCGUGUGCUUAGGUCAUUAAAAUAGGGCCCAUCGACUGUUACCAAAAAACCCUGCAC